UACAGAGGUCCCAAGCGUUGUUCGGAUUCAUUGGGCGUAAAGGGUGCGUAGGCGGCGCGGUAAGUCGGGUGUGAAAUCUCGGGGCUUAACUCCGAAACUGCAUUCGAUACUGCCGUGCUUGAGGACUGGAGAGGAGACUGGAAUUUACGGUGUAGCGGUGAAAUGCGUAGAUAUCGUAAGGAAGACCAGUGGCGAAGGCGGGUCUCUGGACAGUUCCUGACACUGAGACACGAAGGCCAGGGGAGCAAACGGG
rnacentral:rRNA from 1 species